AAAAAAAACAAAACAACACGGCUCCCAGCGCGGCUCCCAAUAAGGAGCCGGCUCCCGUCGGUCACUUGAAAGAUCCGGCUCUAAGAGCCGUUUCGUUCGCAAACGACACAUCACUACACCUUUGCCCUGCGGGGCAAAGAGGUUGUCAAUGAUGACCUACCUGUUGCCGAGAUCCUGGAACGGUGGCCUGCCCUCAAAAUAGAGUCACAGAUCUGAGCUGAGUUUCACAGAAUUACGAACAUGAACCUGAAGAACCACUUCUAUUCUCCUUUGGAUCGACAUUCUCCCCAUCUUCAGAACUUGUUCAGAAAGAAAGCUGCUCGUACUGGGAAAGUGUCUGAAGUUAAAUGUAAUAGAGUUUUUUAUGCAUAUUGCCCAUUUUUAUUAGUUCCAUGAUUUUGGUGAUUUUUACAGCCUUUCAACUGUUUUUGAAGAGUUGAUUGAAUUUCCAUUUCAAAACAAUUUUAUGGCUAAUGUUUGCAUCAUGUUUUAUGGUUACUUAAUAAAGAAGUAACUUGCGGUUAAA